CCUGCUGUUUAAACUUUAAGAUGAUUCCUAUCUGGAUUAAAGUCCUCAACCAGCAGGCCGAGGCAAACUCUAAAGAAAAACAAGGUCAUGCUGCAUUUUUUUUUGGUAAGCACAGGAAUCAACAAAGAGAUGUUAUAUAACUUCUAUUUAUAUCCUCCUUGCUCACUAUCUGCAGGCAGACAAGAGUCGCUGAGAAGGGAUUUAAUGAGCUCUCUGGGUUUGCUCACCUUCCUGAGCUGGUAGGAACCAGCUUGUUCUCAAAUGCGUCAGUAAAGAAUCUGGCUGUGGGUGGGCGGCCAGGGUAGGUGGACUGAGUUGUUGCUAUGGUGUUUUUUAAUUCCCUUGUCUCUCAA
ensembl:misc_RNA